rnacentral:rRNA from 1 species
UAUUGCUCAAUGGGGGAAACCCUGAAGCAGCAACGCCGCGUGGAGGAUGAAGGUUUUAGGAUUGUAAACUCCUUUUGUUAGAGAAGAUAAUGACGGUAUCUAACGAAUAAGCACCGGCUAACUCCGUGCCAGCAGCCGCGGUAAUACGGAGGGUGCAAGCGUUACUCGGAAUCACUGGGCGUAAAGAGCGCGUAGGCGGGAUGGUCAGUCAGGUGUGAAAUCCUAUGGCUUAACCAUAGACUGCAUUUAAACUACAUUCAGAGUGUGGGAGAGGUAGGUGGAAUUCUUGGUGAGGGGAAAAUCCGAAGUCAAGGGAAUCUCAUUGCGAGGCGCCUGCUGGACCUUCUGCGUGUGCAA